UGCCGAAUCAACUAGCCCUGAAAAUGGAUGGCGCUCUAGCGAGUUACUUAUACCACGCCGUUGGCUGUUGCUUACAACAGCAGUCAACGUGUAAGAGGGUCGCAGUGGUUGCGUUGAAGGUUUUCUGAGUGAUCAGAGCUGGAGCAGCCACUGGUGCAGAUCUUGGUGAUAGUAGCAAAUAAUCAAGUGAGAUCCUUGAUGACUGAAGUGAAAAAGGUUUCCACGUGAACAGUAUUUGGACGUGGGUCAGACGGUCCUAAGGAAUCGGCGAAUGCCGUGCCCAAUAGUGUGUGUUUUCGAUGGCUGCUUCGGUGGUCCUCUCGAAUCACAUGGUAUCCGAAAGGGAAACAGGUUAAUAUUCCUGUUCUUUGAGCUUGCGUUGGCGCGUCCUCCUUUACGGGAGGUCGUCGUCUGGGGCGGUAACGCGUAUGAACUUGUAUACGUCAUGUAUAGUUCGGGCUAGAGAUCUCUCCUCUAGUUUAGCUGUUUUGACCAUGGAAUGAGCUCAGCUCGAGAUAUGGUUGUAGGCAGCGUAGAGUGGCGCGGUUUCUGUGCCAUCCCGAGUGCUAUGCAUGACCCUUGAAAAUACAAGGGAUCCCUGAUUAUGCAAGCCAAAGCCGUACCGAAACCGCAUCAGGUUUUCAAGGUGAAUAGCCUCUCGUCGAUAGAAUAAUGUAGGUAAGGGAAGUCGGCAAAUUAGAUCCGUAACUUCGGGAAAAGGAUUGGCUCUAAGAACCGGGCUAUCCGGGCUUUGUUGCGAGGCUAGUGUGCUCUCGGUCAUGACUGCAGGAUGCUUCGGCUGAAUGCGGGCUAGUGCUGUGGGGCUGCUGGUUGAGCGGCUUUGCUUUCGGUGCAUCGUUUGAAGCGUGUCCUUCGGGGUGCGUGGAGGGCGGUGUGCCUCGGGUAGCGCUUAACGGUUGGCUUAGAACUGACACGGACUCAGGGAAUCCGACUGUCUAAUUAAAACAGAGCAGAUAGAAGGCGUUUAUGUGCGUUGACUAUCUGUGAUUUCUGCCCAGUGCUCUGAAUGUUAAGCUAAGGAAACUUGAUUAAGCGCGGGUAAACGGCGGGAGUAACUAUGACUCUCUUAAGGUAGCCAAAUGCCUCGUCAUCUAAUUAGUGACGUGCACGAAUGGAUUAACGAGAUUCCCACUGUCCCUAUCUACUAUCUAGCGAAAUCACAGCCAAGGGAACGGGCUUGGCAAGUUAUGCGGGGAAAGAAGACCCGAUUGAGCUUGACUCUAGUCUGACUUUGUGAAGAGUCAUAGAAGGUGUAGUAUAGGUGGGAGACUUCGGUCGUCAGUGAAAUACCACCACUUCUAUCGAUUCCUUACUUAUUCGGUUAUAUGGGGAUUGCUGCUUCUGUAGCUUUCUCUUGGAAUUAAGUCGUGGCGCUUGCGCCGCGACGACCCACGUCGAUGACAUAGUCAGGCGGGGAGUUUGACUGGGGCGGUACAUCUGUCAAAUCGUAACGCAGGUGUCCUAAGCCGUACUCAGACAGGACAGAAACCUGUCGUAGACUAAAAGGAGAAAAGUACGAUUGAUCUAGAUUCUCAGUACGAAUACAGACCGUUAAAGCGUGGCCUAUCGAUCCUUUUGGAUUAUGGAGUUUAUAAUAAGAGGUGUCAGAAAAGUUACCAUCGGGAUAACUGGCUUGUGGCAGCCAAGCGUCCAUAGCGACGUUGCUUUUUGAUCCUUCGAU
rnacentral:rRNA from 1 species